UUUGUUGGAAGUGUUUAUACACCAAGAAAGCUCUUACCCAGUCUUCGAAGUGUCUGCUGCCAUUCUGUAACAGAUCCUCGAACUGAAUGGUGCAGUUGGCCACGAAAUCGUCGUAGCCGAUAGGCGCAUCGUGGAAGACGGCCAGCUCGAUUUUCCUGCCGUUGCACACGUCGGUAACGAACUCGUCGUUCCAGGCGGGGCUGUUGGUUUUCUGCUUGGUCGAGGUCUGGCCGAUCCUUGAGUCGUCAACGUUCAGGGCGAUGUAAGGGUCCAGCAGGAAAGUCUGGGGCCUGGAGCCGACGGCAUGUCGCAGGGACCAGGGGAAACCUUGGCCAGGCCCCGGCUCAGACCCACGAGAAGGUCCUCUGGUUUGUCUGCCCCUCCCUGCAUGGGGUGCCCGGAGAUCAGGAGCCUGUGGUUGGUGUGUAACCAAACGAGUGAAGUCCAAACGUUAACGCCAUUACUGGGGGACAUUCCUUCUAAUCUCUGUCUUACAUGGGAGACCCUUUGUUUUUAAAAUAUGAAUCCUACCUCUAGAUUGCUCUCCGAGAGGAAAUCUCCUUUUUGCAUCUGCUCUGUUA